GAUUAAUACCCGAUAGCAUAAUGAUUCCGCAUGGUUUCAUUAUUAAAGGAUUCCGGUAAAGGAUGGGGAUGCGUUCCAUUAGGUUGUUGGUGAGGUAACGGCUCACCAAGCCUUCGAUGGAUAGGGGUUCUGAGAGGAAGGUCCCCCACAUUGGAACUGAGACACGGUCCAAACUCCUACGGGAGGCAGCAGUGAGGAAUAUUGGUCAAUGGGCGUUAGCCUGAACCAGCCAAGUAGCGUGAAGGAUGAAGGCUCUAUGGGUCGUAAACUUCUUUUAUAUAAGAAUAAAGUGCAGUAUGUAUACUGUUUUGUAUGUAUUAUAUGAAUAAGGAUCGGCUAACUCCGUGCCAGCAGCCGCGGUAAUACGGAGGAUCCGAGCGUUAUCCGGAUUUAUUGGGUUUAAAGGGAGCGUAGGUGGACUGGUAAGUCAGUUGUGAAAGUUUGCGGCUCAACCGUAAAAUUGCAGUUGAUACUGUCAGUCUUGAGUACAGUAGAGGUGGGCGGAAUUCGUGGUGUAGCGGUGAAAUGCUUAGAUAUCACGAAGAACUCCGAUUGCGAAGGCAGCUCACUGGACUGCAACUGACACUGAUGCUCGAAAGUGUGGGUAUCAAACAGGAUUAGAUA
rnacentral:rRNA from 1 species